rnacentral:rRNA from 1 species
UUAAGCGACUAAGCGUACACGGUGGAUGCCCUGGCAGUCAGAGGCGAUGAAGGACGUGCUAAUCUGCGAUAAGCGUCGGUAAGGUGAUAUGAACCGUUAUAACCGGCGAUUUCCGAAUGGGGAAACCCAGUGUGUUUCGACACACUAUCAUUAACUGAAUCCAUAGGUUAAUGAGGCGAACCGGGGGAACUGAAACAUCUAAGUACCCCGAGGAAAAGAAAUCAACCGAGAUUCCCCCAGUAGCGGCGAGCGAACGGGGAGCAGCCCAGAGCCUGAAUCAGUGUGUGUGUUAGUGGAAGCGUCUGGAAAGGCGCGCGAUACAGGGUGACAGCCCCGUACACAAAAAUGCACAUACUGUGAGCUCGAUGAGUAGGGCGGGACACGUGGUAUCCUGUCUGAAUAUGGGGGGACCAUCCUCCAAGGCUAAAUACUCCUGACUGACCGAUAGUGAACCAGUACCGUGAGGGAAAGGCGAAAAGAACCCCGGCGAGGGGAGUGAAAAAGAACCUGAAACCGUGUACGUACAAGCAGUGGGAGCACGCUUAGGCGUGUGACUGCGUACCUUUUGUAUAAUGGGUCAGCGACUUAUAUUCUGUAGCAAGGUUAACCGAAUAGGGGAGCCGAAGGGAAACCGAGUCUUAACUGGGCGUUAAGUUGCAGGGUAUAGACCCGAAACCCGGUGAUCUAGCCAUGGGCAGGUUGAAGGUUGGGUAACACUAACUGGAGGACCGAACCGACUAAUGUUGAAAAAUUAGCGGAUGACUUGUGGCUGGGGGUGAAAGGCCAAUCAAACCGGGAGAUAGCUGGUUCUCCCCGAAAGCUAUUUAGGUAGCGCCUCGUGAAUUCAUCUCCGGGGGUAGAGCACUGUUUCGGCAAGGGGGUCAUCCCGACUUACCAACCCGAUGCAAACUGCGAAUACCGGAGAAUGUUAUCACGGGAGACACACGGCGGGUGCUAACGUCCGUCGUGAAGAGGGAAACAACCCAGACCGCCAGCUAAGGUCCCAAAGUCAUGGUUAAGUGGGAAACGAUGUGGGAAGGCCCAGACAGCCAGGAUGUUGGCUUAGAAGCAGCCAUCAUUUAAAGAAAGCGUAAUAGCUCACUGGUCGAGUCGGCCUGCGCGGAAGAUGUAACGGGGCUAAACCAUGCACCGAAGCUGCGGCAGCGACGCUGAUGCGUUGUUGGGUAGGGGAGCGUUCUGUAAGCCUGCGAAGGUGUGCUGUGAGGCAUGCUGGAGGUAUCAGAAGUGCGAAUGCUGACAUAAGUAACGAUAAAGCGGGUGAAAAGCCCGCUCGCCGGAAGACCAAGGGUUCCUGUCCAACGUUAAUCGGGGCAGGGUGAGUCGACCCCUAAGGCGAGGCCGAAAGGCGUAGUCGAUGGGAAACAGGUUAAUAUUCCUGUACUUGGUGUUACUGCGAAGGGGGGACGGAGAAGGCUAUGUUGGCCGGGCGACGGUUGUCCCGGUUUAAGCGUGUAGGCUGGUUUUCCAGGCAAAUCCGGAAAAUCAAGGCUGAGGCGUGAUGACGAGGCACUACGGUGCUGAAGCAACAAAUGCCCUGCUUCCAGGAAAAGCCUCUAAGCAUCAGGUAACAUCAAAUCGUACCCCAAACCGACACAGGUGGUCAGGUAGAGAAUACCAAGGCGCUUGAGAGAACUCGGGUGAAGGAACUAGGCAAAAUGGUGCCGUAACUUCGGGAGAAGGCACGCUGAUAUGUAGGUGAAGCGACUUGCUCGUGGAGCUGAAAUCAGUCGAAGAUACCAGCUGGCUGCAACUGUUUAUUAAAAACACAGCACUGUGCAAACACGAAAGUGGACGUAUACGGUGUGACGCCUGCCCGGUGCCGGAAGGUUAAUUGAUGGGGUCAGCGCAAGCGAAGCUCUUGAUCGAAGCCCCGGUAAACGGCGGCCGUAACUAUAACGGUCCUAAGGUAGCGAAAUUCCUUGUCGGGUAAGUUCCGACCUGCACGAAUGGCGUAAUGAUGGCCAGGCUGUCUCCACCCGAGACUCAGUGAAAUUGAACUCGCUGUGAAGAUGCAGUGUACCCGCGGCAAGACGGAAAGACCCCGUGAACCUUUACUAUAGCUUGACACUGAACAUUGAGCCUUGAUGUGUAGGAUAGGUGGGAGGCUUUGAAGUGUGGACGCCAGUCUGCAUGGAGCCGACCUUGAAAUACCACCCUUUAAUGUUUGAUGUUCUAACGUUGACCCGUGAUCCGGGUUGCGGACAGUGUCUGGUGGGUAGUUUGACUGGGGCGGUCUCCUCCUAAAGAGUAACGGAGGAGCACGAAGGUUGGCUAAUCCUGGUCGGACAUCAGGAGGUUAGUGCAAUGGCAUAAGCCAGCUUGACUGCGAGCGUGACGGCGCGAGCAGGUGCGAAAGCAGGUCAUAGUGAUCCGGUGGUUCUGAAUGGAAGGGCCAUCGCUCAACGGAUAAAAGGUACUCCGGGGAUAACAGGCUGAUACCGCCCAAGAGUUCAUAUCGACGGCGGUGUUUGGCACCUCGAUGUCGGCUCAUCACAUCCUGGGGCUGAAGUAGGUCCCAAGGGUAUGGCUGUUCGCCAUUUAAAGUGGUACGCGAGCUGGGUUUAGAACGUCGUGAGACAGUUCGGUCCCUAUCUGCCGUGGGCGCUGGAGAACUGAGGGGGGCUGCUCCUAGUACGAGAGGACCGGAGUGGACGCAUCACUGGUGUUCGGGUUGUCAUGCCAAUGGCACUGCCCGGUAGCUAAAUGCGGAAGAGAUAAGUGCUGAAAGCAUCUAAGCACGAAACUUGCCCCGAGAUGAGUUCUCCCUGACUCCUUGAGAGUCCUGAAGGAACGUUGAAGACGACGACGUUGAUAGGCCGGGUGUGUAAGCGCAGCGAUGCGUUGAGCUAACCGGUACUAAUGAACCGUGAGGCUUAACCUU